UGAAUGUUGACCUCGGAUCAGGUAGGAAUACCCGCUGAACUUAAGCAUAUCAAAAGGCGGAGGAA
rnacentral:rRNA from 1 species